UCUAAUAUGGCAGAAUAGUGCAAUAGAUUUAAACUCUAUAAAUAAAGAUCCAACUUUUAUUAGAA
rnacentral:tRNA from 1 species